rnacentral:rRNA from 1 species
UACGUAGGGUGCGAGCGUUAAUCGGAAUUACUGGGCGUAAAGCGUGCGCAGGCGGUUUUGUAAGCCAGAUGUGAAAGCCCCGGGCUUAACCUGGGAAUGGCAUUUGGGACUGCAAGGCUUGAGUGCGGCAGAGGAGACUGGAAUUCCUGGUGUAGCAGUGAAAUGCGUAGAUAUCAGGAGGAAUACCGAUGGCGAAGGCAGGUCUCUGGGCUGACACUGACGCUCAUGCACGAAAGCGUGGGGAGCAAAACGG